rnacentral:rRNA from 1 species
AGACCCGAAACCCGGUGAUCUAGCCAUGGGCAGGUUGAAGGUUGGGUAACACUAACUGGAGGACCGAACCGACUAAUGUUGAAAAAUUAGCGGAUGACCUGUGGCUGGGGGUGAAAGGCCAAUCAAACCGGGAGAUAGCUGGUUCUCCCCGAAAGCUAUUUAGGUAGCGCCUCGUGAAUUCAUCUCCGGGGGUAGAGCACUGUUUCGGCUAGGGGGCCAUCCCGGCUUACCAACCCGAUGCAAACUGCGAAUACCGGAGAAUGUUAUCACGGGAGACACACGGCGGGUGCUAACGUCCGUCGUGAAGAGGGAAACAACCCAGACCGCCAGCUAAGGUCCCAAAGUCAUGGUUAAGUGGGAAACGAUGUGGGAAGGCCCAGACAGCCAGGAUGUUGGCUUAGAAGCAGCCAUCAUUUAAAGAAAGCGUAAUAGCUCACUGGUCGAGUCGGCCUGCGCGGAAGAUGUAACGGGGCUAAACCAUGCACCGAAGCUGCGGCAGCGACACUGUGUGUUGUUGGGUAGGGGAGCGUUCUGUAAGCCUGUGAAGGUGUGUCGUGAGGCAUGCUGGAGGUAUCAGAAGUGCGAAUGCUGACAUAAGUAACGAUAAAGCGGGUGAAAAGCCCGCUCGCCGGAAGACCAAGGGUUCCUGUCCAACGUUAAUCGGGGCAGGGUGAGUCGACCCCUAAGGCGAGGCCGAAAGGCGUAGUCGAUGGGAAACGGGUUAAUAUUCCCGUACUUGGUGUUACUGCGAAGGGGGGACGGAGAAGGCUAUGUUGGCCGGGCGACGGUUGUCCCGGUUUAAGCGUGUAGGUGUGUGUUCCAGGUAAAUCCGGUUCACUUUAACACUGAGGCGUGACGACGAGGCACUACGGUGCUGAAGCAACAAAUGCCCUGCUUCCAGGAAAAGCCUCUAAGCAUCAGGUAACAUCAAAUCGUACCCCAAACCGACACAGGUGGUCAGGUAGAGAAUACCAAGGCGCUUGAGAGAACUCGGGUGAAGGAACUAGGCAAAAUGGUGCCGUAACUUCGGGAGAAGGCACGCUGACACGUAGGUGAAGUGAUUUACUCAUGGAGCUGAAGUCAGUCGAAGAUACCAGCUGGCUGCAACUGUUUAUUAAAAACACAGCACUGUGCAAACACGAAAGUGGACGUAUACGGUGUGACGCCUGCCCGGUGCCGGAAGGUUAAUUGAUGGGGUCAGCGCAAGCGAAGCUCCUGAUCGAAGCCCCGGUAAACGGCGGCCGUAACUAUAACGGUCCUAAGGUAGCGAAAUUCCUUGUCGGGUAAGUUCCGACCUG